rnacentral:misc_RNA from 1 species
UGCUUCGCGGUCCACGAACGUCUUCCUUCUCCAAGAUCACAACUCUCAGUUUCUAUUUGAGAAGUAGAGGUUCUGGUUUCAGCGGAGAGUUGACCCGGGCCAGACGAGUGCUCGGGGAGGAAGGUUAGAUCCGUAUGGACAUGGAAACUAAUUGGUCCGUCGGUAAACCCGACCCGAAUUCAAGCUACUUGCAGAAAUUCCGACUCUACGAAACGCGCUCGAAUUUUUAUAUGAUAGGAAGAGACAAGAACAGGACCUUUUGGAGGGUUUUAAAGAUUGAUCGGUUAGAACCAUCUGAGCUGUGUAUUCUCGAGGAUUCUACAAUAUACUCAGAAAGUGAAUGCUGUGAUCUGCUAAGGCGAAUACAUGAAGGGAAUAAAUCAACUGGUGGACUUAGAUUUGUUACUACUUCCUACGGAAUAGUUGGUUUCAUAAAAUUUUUGGGACCUUAUUACAUGUUGCUGAUUACAAAAAGAAGGAAAAUUGGUGCAAUUUGUGGCCAUGCAAUAUAUGCCAUCAUCAAGAGCGAGAUGAUUCCUAUUCCAAAUUCUUCUGUGCGGUCCAAUAUGACUAAUUCUAAGAAUGAGAACAGGUCUUUUGUCCAUUCUGCA